rnacentral:rRNA from 1 species
AGUGAACGCUGGCGGUAGGCCUAACACAUGCAAGUCGAACGGCAGCACAGUAAGAGCUUGCUCUUACGGGUGGCGAGUGGCGGACGGGUGAGGAAUACAUCGGAAUCUACUUUUUCGUGGGGGAUAACGUAGGGAAACUUACGCUAAUACCGCAUACGACCUACGGGUGAAAGCAGGGGAUCUUCGGACCUUGCGCGAUUGAAUGAGCCGAUGUCGGAUUAGCUAGUUGGCGGGGUAAAGGCCCACCAAGGCGACGAUCCGUAGCUGGUCUGAGAGGAUGAUCAGCCACACUGGAACUGAGACACGGUCCAGACUCCUACGGGAGGCAGCAGUGGGGAAUAUUGGACAAUGGGCGCAAGCCUGAUCCAGCAAUACCGCGUGGGUGAAGAAGGCCUUCGGGUUGUAAAGACCUUUUGUUGGGAAAGAAAAGCAGCAGGUUAAUACCCCGCUGUUCUGACGGUACCCAAAGAAUAAGCACCGGCUAACUUCGUG